AUUGAACGCUGGCGGCAUGCCUUACACAUGCAAGUCGAACGGCAGCGCGGACUUCGGUCUGGCGGCGAGUGGCGAACGGGUGAGUAAUACAUCGGAACGUACCCUGUUGUGGGGGAUAACUAGUCGAAAGAUUAGCUAAUACCGCAUACGACCUGAGGGUGAAAGUGGGGGACCGCAAGGCCUCACGCAGCAGGAGCGGCCGAUGUCUGAUUAGCUAGUUGGUGGGGUAAAGGCCCACCAAGGCGACGAUCAGUAGCUGGUCUGAGAGGGCGAUCAGCCACACUGGGACUGAGACACGGCCCAGACUCCUACGGGAGGCAGCAGUGGGGAAUUUUGGACAAUGGGGGCAACCCUGAUCCAGCAAUGCCGCGUGUGUGAAGAAGGCCUUCGGGUUGUAAAGCACUUUUGUCCGGAAAGAAAUCGCGCUGGUUAAUACCUGGCGUGGAUGACGGUACCGGAAGAAUAAGCACCGGCUAACUACGUGCCAGCAGCCGCCGCUG
rnacentral:rRNA from 1 species